UGUAGCAAGGUUAACCGAAUAGGGGAGCCGGAGGGAAACCGAGUCUUAACCGGGCGUUAAGUUGCAGGGUAUAGACCCGAAACCCGGUGAUCUAGCCAUGGGCAGGUUGAAGGUUGGGUAACACUAACUGGAGGACCGAACCGACUAAUGUUGAAAAAUUAGCGGAUGACCUGUGGCUGGGGGUGAAAGGCCAAUCAAACCGGGAGAUAGCUGGUUCUCCCCGAAAGCUAUUUAGGUAGCGCCUCGUGAAUUCAUCUCCGGGGGUAGAGCACUGUUUCGGCUAGGGGGCCAUCCCGGCUUACCAACCCGAUGCAAACUGCGAAUACCGGAGAAUGUUAUCACGGGAGACACACGGCGGGUGCUAACGUCCGUCGUGAAGAGGGAAACAACCCAGACCGCCAGCUAAGGUCCCAAAGUCAUGGUUAAGUGGGAAACGAUGUGGGAAGGCCCAGACAGCCAGGAUGUUGGCUUAGAAGCAGCCAUCAUUUAAAGAAAGCGUAAUAGCUCACUGGUCGAGUCGGCCUGCGCGGAAGAUGUAACGGGGCUAAACCAUGCACCGAAGCUGCGGCAGCGACGCUGAUGCGUUGUUGGGUAGGGGAGCGUUCUGUAAGCCUGCGAAGGUGUGUCGUGAGGCAUGCUGGAGGUAUCAGAAGUGCGAAUGCUGACAUAAGUAACGAUAAAGCGGGUGAAAAGCCCGCUCGCCGGAAGACCAAGGGUUCCUGUCCAACGUUAAUCGGGGCAGGGUGAGUCGACCCCUAAGGCGAGGCCGAAAGGCGUAGUCGAUGGGAAACGGGUUAAUAUUCCCGUACUUGGUGUUACUGCGAAGGGGGGACGGAGAAGGCUAUGUUGGCCGGGCGACGGUUGUCCCGGUUUAAGCGUGUAGGUGUGUGUUCCAGGUAAAUCCGGUUCACUUUAACACUGAGGCGUGAUGACGAGGCACUACGGUGCUGAAGCAACAAAUGCCCUGCUUCCAGGAAAAGCCUCUAAGCAUCAGGUAACAUCAAAUCGUACCCCAAACCGACACAGGUGGUCAGGUAGAGAAUACCAAGGCGCUUGAGAGAACUCGGGUGAAGGAACUAGGCAAAAUGGUGCCGUAACUUCGGGAGAAGGCACGCUGACACGUAGGUGAAGUGAUUUACUCAUGGAGCUGAAGUCAGUCGAAGAUACCAGCUGGCUGCAACUGUUUAUUAAAAACACAGCACUGUGCAAACACGAAAGUGGACGUAUACGGUGUGACGCCUGCCCGGUGCCGGAAGGUUAAUUGAUGGGGUCAGCGCAAGCGAAGCUCCUGAUCGAAGCCCCGGUAAACGGCGGCCGUAACUAUAACGGUCCUAAGGUAGCGAAAUUCCUUGUCGGGUAAGUUCCGACCUGCACGAAUGGCGUAAUGAUGGCCAGGCUGUCUCCACCCGAGACUCAGUGAAAUUGAACUCGCUGUGAAGAUGCAGUGUACCCGCGGCAAGACGGAAAGACCCCGUGAACCUUUACUAUAGCUUGACACUGAACAUUGAGCCUUGAUGUGUAGGAUAGGUGGGAGGCUUUGAAGUGUGGACGCCAGUCUGCAUGGAGCCGGCCUUGAAAUACCACCCUU
rnacentral:rRNA from 2 species